GACGAACGCUGGCGGCGUGCCUAACACAUGCAAGUCGAGCGGUAAGGCCCUUUCGGGGGUACACGAGCGGCGAACGGGUGAGUAACACGUGGGUGACCUGCCCUCAGCUCUGGGAUAAGCCUGGGAAACCGGGUCUAAUACUGGAUAUGACUCCAUGACGCAUGUUGUGGGGUGGAAAGCCUUGUGCGGCUGAGGAUGGGCCCGCGGCCUAUCAGCUUGUUGGUGGGGUGANGGCCUACCAAGGCGACGACGGGUAGCCGGCCUGAGAGGGCGACCGGCCACACUGGGACUGAGACACGGCCCAGACUCCUACGGGAGGCAGCAGGUGGGGAAUCUUGCGCAAUGGGCGAAAGCCUGACGCAGCGACGCCGCGUGAGGGAUGACGGCCU
rnacentral:rRNA from 1 species